CAAGAAGCUGGGAGGGAGCAUGGCCAGGAAGGCUGACUGCAACUGGCCAGAGGGUGGAACAGAGAAGAGGCCCUGAGCAGGCAUGUGCUUCAGCUGCUGCCAGGGCACCCCGCUGCCCAGCAGCACAUCCCGGGCCCACUGCAGGUUCUGUGGACAACAACAGCCAGGUCAGAUGGAGGCAGGGGAUGCAAAAGCCACCACAGGGUUCAAAAGUGGCAUUUGAGUUGCAUUUGACCAGCUUUUGUACAGAAAACUUCACAAGAGAGGACAUGAAAGAAAGAGGAAGAUGUUUUGUGCAUAGAGACAAAUAAGAAUGUUGCACUC